AACGAACGCUGGCGGCAUGCCUAACACAUGCAAGUCGAACGAGACCUUCGGGUCUAGUGGCGCACGGGUGCGUAACGCGUGGGAACCUGCCCUUAGGUUCGGAAUAACUCCCCGAAAGGGGUGCUAAUACCGGAUAAUGUCUUCGGACCAAAGAUUUAUCGCCUUUGGAUGGGCCCGCGUUGGAUUAGCUAGUUGGAAGGGUAAAAGCCUACCAAGGCGACGAUCCAUAGCUGGUCUGAGAGGAUGAUCAGCCACACUGGGACUGAGACACGGCCCAGACUCCUACGGGAGGCAGCAGUGGGGAAUAUUGGACAAUGGGCGAAAGCCUGAUCCAGCAAUGCCGCGUGAGUGAUGAAGGCCUUAGGGUUGUAAAGCUCUUUUACCCGGGAUGAUAAUGACAGUACCGGGAGAAUAAGCUCCGGCUAACUCCGU
rnacentral:rRNA from 1 species